rnacentral:rRNA from 1 species
CCCAGACUCCUACGGGAGGCAGCAGUGGGGAAUAUUGCACAAUGGGGGGAACCCUGAUGCAGCGACGCCGCGUGGGUGAAGGAGUACUUCGGUACGUAAAGCCCUAUCAGCAGGAAAGAAAAUGACGGUACCUGACUAAGAAGCCCCGGCUAACUACGUGCCAGCAGCCGCGGUAAUACGUAGGGGGCAAGCGUUAUCCGGAUUUACUGGGUGUAAAGGGAGCGUAGACGGCAGUGCAAGUCCGGAGUGAAAGCCCGGGGCUCAACCCUGGGACUGCUCUGGAAACUGUAAAGCUGGAGUGCGGGAGGGGCAGGCGGAAUUCCUGGUGUAGCGGUGAAAUGCGUAGAUAUCAGGAGGAACACCGGCGGCGAAGGCGGCCUGCUGGACCGUAACUGACGUUGAGGCUCGAAAGCGUGGGGAGCAAACAGGAUUAGAUACCCCAGUAGU